AAACGACUCUCGGCAACGGAUAUCUCGGCUCACGCAUCGAUGAAGAACGUAGCAAAAUGCGAUACUUGGUGUGAAUUGCAGAAUCUCGUGAACCAUCGAGUUUUUGAACGCAAGUUGCGCCCUAAGCCAUCCGGUUGAGGGCACGCCUGCCUGGGCGUCACG
rnacentral:rRNA from 1 species